rnacentral:rRNA from 1 species
UACGUAGGUGGCAAGCGUUGUCCGGAUUUACUGGGCGUAAAGAGCGCGCAGGCGGUCGCUCAAGUCGCGUGUGAAAGCCCCCGGCUCAACUGGGGAGGGUCACGCGAUACUGAUCGACUCGAAGGCAGGAGAGGGUAGUGGAAUUCCCGGUGUAGUGGUGAAAUGCGUAGAUAUCGGGAGGAACACCAGUGGCGAAGGCGACUACCUGGCCUGUUUCUUGACGCUGAGGCGCGAAAGCUAGGGGAGCAAACAGG